rnacentral:lncRNA from 12 species
CUGGAAGUGGACAUUUUCCGGAAGCUUUUUUGAGCCAGAGACAGUGAAUUAGUUUUUUAAUAUUCAUACAAAUUUAAUUUUUUUCUUAACUCACCUCUCAGAAGGACUUUCUCAUAAUAUUCUCCCAUAUGUCAUGUUCUUAUAUUGACAUUUUACUCUCAGACAAAAUAUUUCAGGCUACCCUCUGAAAUGGGUCAUACCAUUAACAUUACCUGAGCAGAUGAAUUAAAUGCGCUAUUAUAAAACGGCGCUCAUUCAGAGACGUGGACGGAGAAAGCAUAAUGUAGGUGUUUAAAAUGCAUAGACAGUAAUGAUAAAUUAAUGCUGUUAAAGUGGAUGCACGGAGCAAACUGUUUGCCAAUUGAGCAAGACGCCCCCAAAUUACAGAAAUUAUCUGUGAAAAUCUUUUCUUAUACAAAAAAAUAAAAUAAAAAAUAAAUGCGAUCGCUGAUUUGGUAUCUCCAAACAGUCACACAUCCGUCCUCAAAAGUCUGUCACGCCCUUCAUUCACCUGUUCCUCUUCAACAGAUUUAAUCAUGUACGGAUCCCGCAGAACUUUAUUCGUCGCCAUUCUUUUAAUGGGCUCCCUUUUCGCAUUAUUUUAUACUAAUGGGAAUUUUUGGAGUAAAACUUCACUUCCGACAAUGAGAUUCCCAAAUUGGUGCCAUGACCCAGAGAUCCCAGAUUUUCCCAAACCAAAGUAAGUAGAUUAAUUUCAUUUUUAUGAGCAACCCUGAAGCAGUGACUUCCGAGUUUCUAAUUUUCAUCUGUUGCUUGUUAUACAUC